rnacentral:lncRNA from 1 species
AAAAAUUGACAGCAUAGUUCACAGAGCCAGUGCCGUGGUGCAGCUGCCUGGAACUCGCUGCCAUCAUACGCUUUGGACAGGAGACAUGAAACACUGCCUGGAUAGCUCCUGGCUGAGGAGGUUGUGAGAAGCGCAUUUGUCUGCACAUUGUGGUGCCUGUGACACCGGGAAGAGAUGGAGGUCACAGGGGGAAGAAAAACCCUGGAUUUCCAGAACACUGCUACCCCUCUCACCAAUUGGUCGCCAGUAUGGAGACUGAUUUCAUGAAGGUCCAGCGUCUGCUGCGGGCAGUGACCUCGGUCCCUUUCUGGGUCAAACGGCAGAGUGAAGCUGCAGCCAAAUUGAGGGUAAAUAACAGUCACAGCAGGAAGUAGGGAGAAUCCUGUACAGCUGAAACGAUCCUUGAGGAUCCCUGCCAUGAUGUUUCCAUUAGUUGUAUUCUAAUUAUAGACCUUGACAAAAAAAGCAAAAAGAAGACCCAGCAGAGCCAAG